rnacentral:piRNA from 1 species
UGAAUAUAAACGUCAAGGGUGUUAGGU